AUGUUCCUCAACCAGGUCCUCGUGCGCGCUGUCCCCGUCACCUCAUCCUCCGCCCCGUCGCCGCCGUUCCUCCUCCGCCAGGUCUCCUUCUCCGCCGCAGUUCCAUCCCUCGACCUCGACAUCCUCUGCUGCAGGCUGUCCCGCCGCCACCGUCUCGCGUGCCUCCCCCAGUCCCCAGCCGACGCCCUCGUGGUCUACCAGAGAUGCCAGUCCCACGCGGCCGCCGAGGUGGCCUCCGAGAUCGCGGCUGCCUUCACGGGCGCCUCGGUUGGCGAGGAGGAGGAGGUGGUCUGUUCAGGCUCGCUGGUUGCAAAAGCGGUUGAGUGUGGACUUCGAUGUCUGAUGCUUGAGCGUGGGUGGAGCUUUGUCGGUGAGAGCAUAUACGUCCAGUCGACGUUUGCUGUGAUCGAGGAGAGAACUGAUCUGUGCGCGUUGAAUGUGGAAGUCAGAUCUGGACUAAAUGAUGAUUAUGAGUUUGUUGUCUCACCUGAUGCAUUUCGGUUCACUGCACUUAAGAUCUCAGAUGUUGCUAGUUCCAGUGUGAUAGAAACGUUUCAACAGAUUAAGGAAGUAAGUUUGGAUGGUUGUAACCUCCAGACAGCUUGUGCAAUUCUUCCAACAUUACAGGAAGGCCAUGUGAUUGGUUUUAGCGAAUUACCUCCUUCAGGGCAGAUCUUGGACAGCUUUACAGAGCUUUGCUCAGUUAAGCAUGGUGUGGAGACGAACUACAGUUAUCAUGCAGCAGUCAAACUGACACGCGGAGCUUCCUGUGAGAAGCAAUGGUUGCCUUCUCCAUUUGUCCUCCAAGGUCCGGGGCUUCAGCCUUCCCCAAAAUCUGUUAGAGCAUCAAAGGCAAUGUCUUCCAUGCGGUCCUUUAUAGAAUCGUUGAAAGCUUGGAAUUGCUUUGGUCAGAGUCAACUAGUAAUUAAGGAACAAUUAGUAGUUAACUGCACGGCGACUCUGCCUACUUGGGACAAAGCCACAAGUAAACUGGCAAUGCACACUGCAAGAACCGAAAAUUCAGAGGAUCUUCGUUUAGUUCAUCCAAGUUCUGUGACCAAAGACCAAUCAUUGGCUUUAGACUUCCGGACCCCAAAACCAGCUGUCUUUUCCUCUUCGGCUGCCAAAUUCUGCAAUACCAAAGUUGAGAUAGCUCAGUCUCUGGAUGAUGCUGGCACUGGCGAUGACACACAUUCCAUCAAGCAUGGUUGUCAAUCACAGUCUGUUGUCUUAACCAGUUCAUUCAAAUCGCAAAUAACAUUAUUGAAGCCUUCAUUCGGCAGAAGUAAACGAGCAGAUAAAAACAAAACGUGGUUUUCUUCUGAACAAUCUGAUGCUGAUAGUUCAAACAGAUCGAGUGAAACUAGCCUACCAAAAUCAUCACUUGGAAAUUUCCCUAAAGCAAGCCAUGCUAAUCCUGUUGAUUCAUCAAGUGCAAGUCUUCUGAAGCAAGUCAUUCAGACUUCUGGAAAUCCUAAAAGGAAGCAUGCAGAGAUUCUAGAAAACAAUGGUGAAGGAGGAACUGUAAAAGUGCACCAAAAGGAUUGUUCUGAAAAGAGGAACUUGGAUGCGAGGAAGAGUAAAGAUUAUGCGCCUAAUGUCCCGCAAGACAUAUCAUCAGUGCUAGAUAUUCAGAAGGAUGUGCUUAGAACAAAAGUAAAACCGACAAAAUCAAAGUCUAUGGUUGGCAAGAAUGAGAUAACUGCUGCAACAAAAUCGAAAAGAAAGCCAGAAGUUGUCAAAGACGAGCUAACCAAAACGGCAAUAGAUCAUCAAAAGGAUGUUACUAAAAAGGUGACGAAGGCAAAGUCAGUAAUUGUUAAGGAUGAGUUAACUUCAACAACAAAGACAAAAACAAAGCCAGAUGUUGACAAGGACGAGUUAACUGCAAAGGUGAUAGAUCAUCAUAAGCGAGGUGAGUUGCGUCUGCUUACAGUUGCUGAUCUGAAGUGCUUUCUCAGUGCAAAAAAGGCAAAAGUUGGAGGUUCAAAGGAAGUGCUUAUCCAAAGAGCAUCUGAACUCCUUUCUUGA
rnacentral:rRNA from 1 species